rnacentral:rRNA from 1 species
ACGGCGAGUGAAGCGGCAAUAGCUCAAAUUUGAAAUCUGGCCCUCGUGGUCCGAGUUGUAAUUUGUAGAGGAUGCUUUUGGUGCGGUGCCUUCCGAGUUCCCUGGAACGGGACGCCAAAGAGGGUGAGAGCCCCGUACGGUUGGACACCUACCCUAUAUAUAGCUCCUUCGACGAGUCGAGUAGUUUGGGAAUGCUGCUCUAAAUGGGAGGUAAAUUUCUUCUAAAGCUAAAUACCGGCCAGAGACCGAUAGCGCACAAGUAGAGUGAUCGAAAGAUGAAAAGCACUUUGAAAAGAGGGUUAAAUAGCACGUGAAAUUGUUGAAAGGGAAGCGUUUGCGACCAGACCUUUUCCAGGGGGAUCAUCCGGUGUUCUCACCGGUGCACUUCCCUUGGUUUAGGCCAGCAUCGGUUUUCUUAGGGGGAUAAAGGCUUAGGGAACGUAGCUCUUUCGGGAGUGUUAUAGCCCUUUGCGUAAUACCCCUCGGGGGACCGAGGACCGCGCUCUGCAAGGAUGCUGGCGUAAUGGUCGUCAACGA